GAAGGGAAUGGUGGACGCUGUCUCAUGGAGGAGGAAAUGCACCCAGACUCCAUUAUCAGGUCGUAUUUAUUAUUAAUCCCGGAGGGUGCAGGCGGCAUGAAGAGGCGCCUGCCGCCCCCUGCUAGCGACAUUUCUGUGCGCCAGAACCUGGUCUCCUUGCUGCUGACGCCAGAGUGACAUGUGCUCCGGCCUCUAAUUCAAUGUGCUGGCCUGCAGGUGAAGGCAAAGAAUAGCAAACACAGGAGCGAGUGACAUUUCAGAGAUUUAUUAAUUUGAAAAUGAAGCCCGCCUGUCGAGAGGGGGACAGUUCUUC